AUGAGUGCAGAAGGAACUAAUACAAAACUGCCCAGAAGAGCGCGAAACCCUCCGAAAAAGAUGAGUUUGUAUGAACCAGACCCCAGCUCCCCCAGAGAUAACCAAGAUGGACUUUUUGUAUUUUUGACCUUUGAAGAUGGAUACACAGCAAAGAUUUUUAAUGUCUGUGAUAUACUAAACAAAGAUGAUAAACCCAUUGCUUGCUUUAGAUAUCUGACACCAGGAGAAGAAGUACUUGCAAGAUGGUCUGACAAUAAGUUCUACAAAGCUACAGUAGACUUCACUGGAACAGCUGACAAAACGGUGGAUACCAAGAAGGCGACAAAGAAAGACAUGAAAAAAAGAGAUGCAGCUGCAAAAAGAUUCUACAACCUUCCAUUCCUACCUCAAGCAGGCCAGUCCACCUCUGCACAGGAUCACCUAAAUACUGUGGACCAAAAUGUCAUUCAGCCUCCAACAACCUGGCCAGUGUACCAGCCUCCACCUACAGAGUCAUUUCUACCUGUCCAGCCACAGCACCAGCAUGCAACUGCCUGGCCACAGUACCAACUUCCAGUUUCCCAGUUAUCACCAAAUACGCCACAACAUUACCAGCAUUCACCAGUCCAGUCGCUCAACCAGUAUGGAACUACUCUGUCUCCAAUUCCACACAAUUCCAGCCUUUUGCAGUAUUCAAAGCAUCACAAAAAAAGCAUCAAAAAAUGUGGGUGGAACCCAAUAAGAGGUGUUGGAUACCCAUAUAUCACAUAGCUACGUUAAAUGUUAUGAUUGUUUCACUGUCCUCACAGUUUUGCUGCAUUUCCUUAUGUGUGAUCCAUAGAGAUAUUACAAUGUGAAUUUUGUCGUAUCAGGAUGAAAAAAGUUGUUAAUACUGUUGUGGUAACUGCGAUUACUCAAUGCAAUCUGUAAUUUGUGCUUUCUUUUCUUUUAUUCUUGCAGCUUACGUCAUGCGCUGUAGUACACUGGAUGGUUGGACACCGGUUGAGAAAAGUAAGGUCAAAAAAGCCUUCAUAAACAAAUGCCGCAUCAGGGCCACAACACUGUAAAUAUCGGAUGGGGCACACAGAGACAUUUGUUGAAAUGACAAUGUUCUAAUGUUCUAAACCUGGCCUUAAGUUUAUUGUUGUGAAUUGUUCUAAACCUGGCCUGCCACUGCUCAUAACAUUGUUAAAAUUGUUACUGUUUUAAAAACAGAAUUUUACAAAAAAAAAAGCACUUUAGUUCAUAUUUUGUAAUGACUAUGUUUAAACAGUUUUUGCUGUCUUUAAAAUGUCUUUAAAUUUGUUAAUGUUAUUUUGAUUUAAAUAAAGAUUCAG
ensembl:lncRNA